rnacentral:rRNA from 1 species
UACGGGGGGGGCAAGCGUUGUUCGGAAUUACUGGGCGUAAAGGGCUCGUAGGCGGCCAACUAAGUCAGACGUGAAAUCCCUCGGCUUAACCGGGGAACUGCGUCUGAUACUGGAUGGCUAGAGGUUGGGAGAGGGAUGCGGAAUUCCAGGUGUAGCGGUGAAAUGCGUAGAUAUCUGGAUGAACACCGGUGGCGAAGGCGGCAUCCUGGACCAAUUCUGACGCUGAGGAGCGAAAGCCAGGGGAGCAAACGGG